UACGGAGGGGGCUAGCGUUGUUCGGAAUUACUGGGCGUAAAGCGUACGUAGGCGGCUUUGUAAGUUAGAGGUGAAAGCCCGGGGCUCAACCUCGGAACUGCCUUCGAUACUGCGGGUCUCGUAGUCCGGGAGAGGUGAGUGGAAUUCCGUAGUGUAGAGGUGAAAUUCGUAGAUAGUUAGGAAGAACACCAGUGGCGAAGGCGGCUCACUGGCCCGGUACUGACGCUGAGGCGCGAAAGCGUGGGGGAGCAAACAGG
rnacentral:rRNA from 1 species